rnacentral:rRNA from 1 species
UACAGAGGGUGCAAGCGUUAAUCGGAAUUACUGGGCGUAAAGCGUGCGUAGUCGGUUAUCUAAGUCAGGUGUGAAAUCCCCGGGCUCAACCUGGGAAUUGCAUUUGAUACUGGAUAGCUAGAGUUCGGCAGAGGGAAGUGGAAUUUCUGGUGUAGCGGUGAAAUGCGUAGAUAUCAGAAGGAAUAUCAGUGGCGAAAGCGACUUCCUGGACCAGAACUGACGAUCAGGCACGAAAGCGUGGGGAGCAAACAGG